UACGGAGGGGGCGAGCGUUAUUCGGAAUCAUUGGGCGUAAAGGGCGCGUAGGCGGCCCCGUAAGUCUUGGGUGAAAGCCCUCGGCUCAACCGAGGAAUUGCCUUGGAUACUGCGGGGCUCGAGGCUGGAAGAGGGCAGUGGAAUUCCCGGUGUAGCGGUGAAAUGCGCAGAUAUCGGGAGGAACACCGGUGGCGAAGGCGGCGACCUGGGUAGAUACUGACGCUGAGGUGCGAAAGCGUGGGGAGCAAACAGG
rnacentral:rRNA from 1 species